rnacentral:rRNA from 1 species
UACGAAGGGGGCUAGCGUUGCUCGGAUUUACUGGGCGUAAAGGGCGCGUAGGCGGACAGUUAAGUUGGGGGUGAAAGCCCGGGGCUCAACCUCGGAAUUGCCUUCAAUACUGGCUGUCUUGAGUGUGAGAGAGGUGUGUGGAACUCCGAGUGUAGAGGUGAAAUUCGUAGAUAUUCGGAAGAACACCAGUGGCGAAGGCGGCCCACUGGACGUGUAUUGACGCUGAGGUGCGAAAGCGUGGGGAGCAAACAGG